GGAGAGGCGCAGGCCCAGGUCCACUCCCCAGCUGUGAAAGGAAUGAAGAUAUAGAGAAACAAGGAAGAAAUUGACCCCGACGAAGAAGAAAGUGCCAAGAAAAAGCAUUUGGAUAAGAAGAGAAAAUUGAAGGAGAUGUUUGAUGCGGAAUAUGAUGAAGGAGAAAGCACAUAUUUUGAUGAUCUUAAAGGAGAAAUGCAGAAAGAAGCACAGAGAGAAGCAGAGAAAUGAAGCAGUUUUUGGUGGAAGAAGUGGAAUCAAAAGGUUUUGAGCUGAAUCACGUAGAAUUUGAAGAUCAAGAUGAUGAAGCCAGAGUUCAGUAUGAUGGUUUUCGACCUGGGAUGUACGUCCGCGUUGAGAUUGAAAAUGUUCCCUGUGAAUUUGUGCAGAACUUUGACCCCCAUUACCCCAUUAUCCUGGGUGGCUUGGGCAACAGCGAGGGAAAUGUUGGACACGUGCAGAUGCGUCUGAAGAAACAUCGCUGGUAUAAGAAAAUCCUCAAGUCCCAAGAUCCAAUCAUAUUUUCUGUAGGGUGGAGGAGGUUUCAGACCAUCCUGCUCUAUUAUAUUGAAGACCACAAUGGAAGACAAAGGCUUCUAAAGUAUACCCCACAGCACAUGCAUUGUGGAGCAGCCUUUUGGGGUAAAAUAUGAUUACAAUAACUUGCCUAUUGCCGAGAUUAAACUUUACAGGCUGCGUUA
rnacentral:lncRNA from 1 species